AAUGAACGUUGGCGGCAUGGAUUAGGCAUGCAAGUCGAGCGAGAAGGGUUUUGAAGCUUGCUUUAGAACCCGGAAAGCGGCGAAAGGGAGAGUAACGAGUAGUUAUCUACCCCAAGGCCCGGAAUAGCUGCGGGAAACUGCAGGUAAUGCCGGAUAAUAUCCCCGGAUCAAAGGUGUGAUUCCGCCUUGGGAGGAGACUGCUUUGUACUAGCUUGUUGGUAGGGUAAUGGCCUACCAAGGCUACGAUGCAUAGCGAGCGUGAGAGCGUGGCCCGUCUCACUGGGACUGAAACACUGCCCAGACACCUACGGGUGGCUGCAGUCGAGAAUCUUCGGCAAUGGGCGAAAGCCUGACCGAGCGAUGCCGCGUGCGGGAUGAAGGCCCUCGGGUUGUAAACCGCUGUCGUAGAGGAGAAAGGUCUCGUGAAGAGCGAGAUUUGAUCUAUUCUAGGAGGAAGUCGGGGCUAAGUUCGUGCCAGCCGCCGCAGUAAGAC
rnacentral:rRNA from 1 species